CUUCAGCGAGCCGAGCAGCACCGGCGUGUCCCGGUCCUGGCCGUAGGUGGCCAGCAACGCCUGCGCCUC
rnacentral:antisense_RNA from 1 species